GAUGAACGCUGGCGGCGUGCCUAAUACAUGCAAGUCGAGCGAACAGACGAGAGUGCUUGCACUCUCUGACGUUAGCGGCGGACGGGUGAGUAACACGUGGGUAACCUACCUAUAAGACUGGGAUAACUUCGGGAAACCGCAGCUAAUACCGGAUAAUAUUUAGCUUCGCAUGAAGCAAUAGUGAAAGACGGUUCUGCUGUCACUUAUAGAUGGACCCGCGGUGUAUUAGCUAGUUGGUGGGGUAACGGCUCACCAAGGCGACGAUACAUAGCCGACCUGAGAGGGUGAUCGGCCACACUGGGACUGAGACACGGCCCAGACUCCUACGGGAGGCAGCAGUGGGGAAUCUUCGGCAAUGGACGAAAGUCUGACGCAGCAAUGCCGCGUGAGUGAAGAAGGUUUUCGGAUCGUAAAACUCUGUUGUAAGGAACGAACAGGUACGUUAGUAAAUGAACGUACCUUGACGGUACCUUACCAGAAAGCCACGGCUAACUACGUG
rnacentral:rRNA from 1 species